CAGUCGCCGCGGUAAGACAGAGGUCCCGAGCGUUGUUCGGAUUCAUUGGGCGUAAAGGGUGUGUAGGAGGCUAGGUAAGUCAGGUGUGAAGUCUCACAGCUUAACUGUGAAACUGCGCUUGAUACUGCUUGGCUAGAGGAUCGGAGGGGGUAACGGAAUUCAUGGUGUAGCAGUGAAAUGCGUAGAUAUCAUGAGGAACACCGGUGGCGAAGGCGGUUACCUGGAAGAUUCCUGACUCUGAAACACGAAAGCCAGGGGAGCAAACGGGAUUAGAUACCCCGGUAGUCCCUGUCUCUUAUAC
rnacentral:rRNA from 1 species